AAGUACGUACGCAAGUAUGAAACUUAAAGGAAUUGGCGGGGGAGCACCNCAAGGGGUGAAGCCUGCGGUUCAAUUGGAGUCAACGCCAGAAAUCUUACCCGGAGAGACAGCAGAAUGAAGGUCAAGCUGAAGACUUUACCAGACGAGCUGAGAGGUGGUGCAUGGCCGUCGCCAGCUCGUGCCGUGAGAUGUCCUGUUAAGUCAGGUAACGAGCGAGAUCCCUGCCACUAGUUGCUAUCAUUAUUCUCAGGAAUAGUGGGGCGAAUUAGUGGGACUGCCGUUGUUAAAACGGAGGAAGGAAGGGGCUACGGCAGGUCAGUAUGCCCCGAAACUCUGGGGCCACACGCGGGCUGCAAUGGUAGUGACAAUGAGUUCCAAACUCGAAAGAGAGUGGCAAUCUCUAAACGCUACCACAGUUAUGACUGAGGGCUGUAACUCGCCCUCACGAAUAUGGAAUCCCUAGUAACCGCGUGUCAUUACCGCGCGGUGAAUACGUCCCUGCUCCUUGCACACACCGCCCGUCGUUUCAUCGAAGUUUGCUUUUAGUGAGGUGAUGUUUAAUUGGCAUUAUCGAACUUGAGGUAAGCGACGAGGGAAAAGUCGUAACAAGGUA
rnacentral:rRNA from 1 species